rnacentral:rRNA from 1 species
AUACCCGAGGGAAACCUCGGCUAAUACCGGAUACUUCUCUUGAAGGCAUCUUCGAGAGAUAAAAACGGCUUCACAGCCGCGCUGAGAGAUGGACCUGCGGCGCAUUAGCUAGUUGGUGAGAUAAUAGCCCACCAAGGCGAGGAUGCGUAGCCGACCUGAGAGGGUGAUCGGCCACAAUGGAACUGAGAAACGGUCCAUACUCCGUACGGGAGGCAGCAGUAGGGUAGUUUUCGGCAAUGGGGGGAACCCUGACCGAGCAACGCCGCGUGAGUGAUGAAGGUCUUCGGAUUGUAAAGCUCUGUUGUAGGGGACGAAUGAGUGAUCGAGGAAAUGCGGUCGCUUUGACGGUACUCUACCAGAAAGCCACGGCUAACUACGUG